rnacentral:rRNA from 1 species
CCUACGGGAGGCAGCAGUGGGGAAUAUUGGGCAAUGGAGGAAACUCUGACCCAGCGACGCCGCGUGCGGGAUGAAGGCCUUCGGGUUGUAAACCGCUUUCAGCAGGGAAGAAGCGAAAGUGACGGUACCUGCAGAAGAAGCACCGGCUAACUAUGUGCCAGCAGCCGCGGUAAUACAUAGGGUGCAAGCGUUGUCCGGAAUUAUUGGGCGUAAAGAGCUCGUAGGUGGUUCGUCACGUCGGAUGUGAAAAUCUGGGGCUUAACCCCAGACCUGCAUUCGAUACGGGCGAGCUUGAGUAUGGUAGGGGAGUCUGGAAUUCCUGGUGUAGCGGUGGAAUGCGCAGAUAUCAGGAGGAACACCAAUGGCGAAGGCAGGACUCUGGGCCAUUACUGACACUGAGGAGCGAAAGCGUGGGGAGCGAACAGGAUUAGAUACCCUGGUAGUCCACGCCGUAAACGGUGGGCACUAGUUGUGGGGACCUUCCACGGUCUCUGCGACGCAGCUAACGCAUUAGUGCCCGCCUGGGGNGACGAGUGCGAGAUAAACUACGUAAGUUAGUUAGUAGNGNGNGAGNGCGACGACGACGACGAGGAGGAGG